AUUGAACGCUGGCGGCAGGCCUAACACAUGCAAGUCGAACGGUAACAGGAAGAAGCUUGCUUCUUUGCUGACGAGUGGCGGACGGGUGAGUAAUGUCUGGGAAACUGCCUGAUGGAGGGGGAUAACUACUGGAAACGGUAGCUAAUACCGCAUAACGUCGCAAGACCAAAGAGGGGGACCUUCGGGCCUCUUGCCAUCGGAUGUGCCCAGAUGGGAUUAGCUAGUAGGUGGGGUAACGGCUCAUCUAGGCGACGAUCCCUAGCUGGUCUGAGAGGAUGACCAGCCACACUGGAACUGAGACACGGUCCAGACUCCUACGGGAGGCAGCAGUGGGGAAUAUUGCACAAUGGGCGCAAGCCUGAUGCAGCCAUGCCGCGUGUAUGAAGAAGGCCUGCGGGUUGUAAAGUACUUUCAGCGGGGAGGAAGGGAGUAAAGUUAAUACCUUUACUCAUUGACGUUACCCGCAGAAGAAGCACCGGCUAACUCCGU
rnacentral:rRNA from 1 species